rnacentral:rRNA from 1 species
UCGAGCCUACGGGGCGCAGCAGUAGGGAAUUUUCGUCAAUGGGCGCAAGCCUGAACGAGCGAUGCCGCGUGAGUGAAGAAGGCCUUCGGGUCGUAAAGCUCUGUUGCGGGGGAAAAAAGGCAGCAUCAGGAAAUGGGUGCUGACUGAUGGUGCCCCGCCAGAAAGUCACGGCUAACUACGUGCCAGCAGCCGCGGUAAUACGGAGGAUGCGAGCGUUAUCCGGAUUUAUUGGGUUUAAAGGGUGCGUAGGCGGACAGUCAAGUCAGCGGUAAAAAUGCGGUGCUCAACGCCGUACAGCCGUUGAA